ACAGACUAACAAUACAUGUCCUGCACUAGUUUCUUCGUCAUCUGAUCCUUCCACCCAUGAUCUUGAUCUCCUCAUCAGUCUUCGUAAAGGUACAUAUCAAUACAUCAUUCCUCAUUCUACUUAUCUCAUUGCUAAUUUCAUUUCAUAUGAUCAUUUGUCUACUACAUCUACCUCUUUCAUUGCUUCUAUAUAUUCCAUUUCUAUACCCAAAACAGUUAAGGAGGUUCUG
rnacentral:lncRNA from 1 species